AGUGAACGCUGGCGGCAGGCUUAACACAUGCAAGUCGAGCGGGGGAAGGUAGCUUGCUACCGGACCUAGCGGCGGACGGGUGAGUAAUGCUUAGGAAUCUGCCUAUUAGUGGGGGACAACAUCUCGAAAGGGAUGCUAAUACCGCAUACGUCCUACGGGAGAAAGCAGGGGAUCUUCGGACCUUGCGCUAAUAGAUGAGCCUAAGUCGGAUUAGCUAGUUGGUGGGGUAAAGGCCUACCAAGGCGACGAUCUGUAGCGGGUCUGAGAGGAUGAUCCGCCACACUGGGGCUGAGACACGGCCCAGACUCCUACGGGAGGCAGCAGUGGGGAAUAUUGGACAAUGGGGGGAACCCUGAUCCAGCCAUGCCGCGUGUGUGAAGAAGGCCUUAUGGUUGUAAAGCACUUUAAGCGAGGAGGAGGCUACUCUAGUUAAUACCUAGGGAUAGUGGACGUUACUCGCAGAAUAAGCACCGGCUAACUCUGUGCCAGCCGCCGCAGUAA
rnacentral:rRNA from 1 species